CGGUAAUUCCAGCUCCAAUAGCGUAUACUAAAGUUGUUGCAGUUAAAAAGCUCGUAGUUGGAUUUCUGCGGGGACGGAGCGGCCGGUCGCAACUUGCGACUCGAGCUAGCGCUUUCCCCGCAUCCUGCCGCGAACCGUGCUACCAUUAGUUUGGUGGCGCUGGGGAUCGGCUCGAUUACUUUGAGAAAAAUAGAGUGUUCAAAGCAGGCCACACGCCUUGAAUAAGUUAGCAUGGAAUAAUGACUAAGGACUUUGGUUCUUUUCGUUGGUGUUCGGGACUGAAGUAAUGAUUGAUAGGGACAGUUGGGGCGGUCCGUAUUCCAAAGCGAGAGGUGAAAUUCUUAGACCUUCGGAAGACGAACAGCUGCGAAAGCGUUCCGCAAGGAUGUUCCCUUUGAUCAAGAACGAAAGUUGGGGGAUCGAAGACGAUCAGAUACCGUCGUAGUCUCAACUAUAAACUAUACCAGCUAGGGAUCGGCCAACGUUUAAUUAUUCGACUUGGUCGGCACCUUAUGAGAAAUCAAAGCAUCUGGGUUCCGGGGGGAGUAUGGUCGCAAGGCUGAAACUUAAAGGAAUUGACGGAAGGGCACCACCAGGCGUGGAGCCUGUGGCUUAAUUUGACUCAACACGGGAAAACUUACCAGGUCCAGACAUAGGAAGGAUUGACAGAUUGAUAGCUCUUUCUUGAUUCUGUGGGUGGUGGUGCAUGGCCGUUUUUAGUCGGUGAAGCGAUUUGUCUGCUUAAUUGCGUUAACGGACGAGACCCCAGCCUGCUAAAUAGCGCGGUCGAGCUUUGCUCGGCACGAGCUUCUUAGAGGGACCAUGAUGCGCGAUAGCACAAGGAAGUUUGGGGCAACAACAGGUCUGUGAUGCCCUUAGAUGUUCUGGGCCGCACACGGGCUACACUGGCGCCUGCAACGAGCAUAUCAGCUGGCCCGAGAGGGUCUUGGCUAAUCUUUGGAACCGGCGCCGUGCUUGGGAUUGACCAUUGCAAUUGUUGGUCAUGCAGCGAGGAAUGCCUUGUAAACGCGAGUCAUCAGCUCGCAUUGAAUACGUCCCUGCCCCUUGUACACACCGCCC
rnacentral:rRNA from 1 species